AUUUUUCAGUUCUGAACAUGUUUUGAUUGUCUGGUGUGUGCCAGGCACUCUGAGAAGCUCUGGCCACACUGUGAUGAACAAAAUGGCAUCCUUGCCUUUGAGGAACUGAAGUGUGGAGUGUGGGAAAGACCACACGGUGUGGGAAAAGCUCUGGUGGGGCAAAUGCCUGGGCCCUCCAGGAAGGGAAGUGCUCAGAGCAGGCUUCCCAGAGGAGAAACAUCUUUGGAAACAGCUGAAGGAGGAGCAGCACUGGUCAGAUGAGGAAGCAUUUAGAGAGAGAGAGCGCACAAGCAGGGGGAACGGCAGGCGGAGGGAGAAGCAGACUCCCUGCCGAGCAGGGAGCCCGACGCAGAACUCGAUCCCAGGACCCUGGGAUCAUGACCUGAGCCAAAGGCAGACACUUAACUGACUGAGCCACCAGGCGUCCUGAGAAAAUACUCUUAGUUCUAUUACUCUAACAGUCAUUUUUUGAAUUUUGAAUAUCUUAAUAUUUUUCCUAACAGUAUAUAAGCAUGUUACUGAGCUGACCAUCCUUUGGCAUCAAGACUGACUGACCUGACUGCUCUAUCUUGUGGGCGCGAGGCUGCAGAAGUCCCCACCUCUCUGUGCAGCCCAUAUGGAGCAGAAUGGAGAAUCCCGUCACCCAGCUCGUGCUCCCUCUAUCACACGUCUGCCCCGCGUUGCAUAUGUUCCCUGCACUUGCAGGAGGCACGUGGAUUUGCUCCAGGUGGAUGCACUUUCAUGUCUCAGCAUCAACAGGGAAGCCCUGGGGCAGGAGGUGGGGAGCUGCCGGGCUGCGUCCGUGUGAAGUUGAUGGGAAUCCACAGAGAGCUGGCCACUGCAAAGGUGAAGCAAGAGCAGAUGAAUUAAAGCAUGAAAGUAACUUGACUUUUAUGGGUCAAAGUCAUCUUGAAUGUUUAUGGUCACCAUGCCAGAGGAAAGAGAGAGCUGGGUGAUUUGUACCAGCUCGCUCCAUUCACUAGAAUCAGCCACGGGGCCCCCGUACAACCACAAGGGGGCAGAAAGCCAAUGCUGUGGUAGGCCUAAAAUAAAGGCGAACCAGGGAUAUUUGACAAAUAGUGCCAACGACUCCCACAGCAGGUCUGACAUUUUUAGCAGCACGAUAGUCCUAUUUUGCAGAUGAGAAAAUUGAGUCAUAGAGUUUAAGAGACUCGCUCAAAGUCACACAGCUAGAAAAUGGUGAGACCAGAUUUGACGCCUGGCAGUCUGGAUUCAAAGUCCAUGCUCUAAACCGCUGUACUAUACGGCUGAGGGAUGAGGAGGCUGUGACUACAAACUACGAAUGGAAGAAUCAUCCCCGAGGCUCACUGAUUGUAACCCGAAAAGACUCCCUGUCGUCUAGGCAAGUUUCGGGAACUGAUUAACUCCUAGGAACGCUUGCAUGUCUGCUGGCCCCAGGUGGUGUAAACGCCAAGCGUGGACCAAGACCCCGCGGCGCCCCCGAUGUAUCAUCUCCCCGAGUGACAGUGUGCACCUCUCACAUUAACACUUGGUUCCGCUUGGGUCUCUUCCAUCUCCACCCCUCCUCCCCGAGCCCCUGCCACCAUCUCACCUCGUCUCCUCCCACGCCCCUGGACCGAGCAUCCCUUCUGGCAGGAUGCAGCCAUGUCAGAUCACCAGGAGUUUCCGCCGCUGUGCUGUGCUCUCACGCAUCUAUGUCUUGGUGCAGACUGUUCCAUUUCUCAGAACGCCUUCCAAACAAGUUUGCUUGGAUAAUUCCUGCUCAUGGUUUAACUCUCAGCCCGAACAAUGGAAAUGAAAAGAAAGGACCGUUCCCAAGAGGCCCUGGAAGGGGAGUUGAAGUCACUUGGGGAGAGCUGUGACCUGAUACCAGGAUAAGAAGGAGCCACAGCUAACUCCAAGACUGAUGAGAGGUAGCUGGCUUGUGAACUGCAGGGGCUGACUGGAGACAGCCGACGAGACUUACCUGGACUUUGUGGCUGUUUAAAUGACUGGAUCUUUGACGAGGAACAACCACCUGAUGGCAGAUUCUGAGGGAGACGGGGCGGGUCACCCCACGGGCGUGGUGAAUAACACUGCUUCUGUUUUCAAGUUGCUGCAGCGAAGAGCGGCUUUUGAAUGGGUCUGUGAACGCUUCAGCCGUUCUGUUCUGGUGUUUGAAGGGCAGCUCACUGUACUGACAUGCUGGACAAGAAGGAUUUGAUCUAAUUUUAGUUGCAGUAAAUAUGAUGUUGCUCUUCCAUUGUACUUGGACUUUCCUUUAACAGCACGAUGGCUUAAUUAUGCCACUCUCUGUUCCAGCACCCCUCCCCAGCCGCCCCUUCAUCAGUAGCAGAGACCAGGGAUCAGCCCUACUGAGACGUUUUUUGCAAUUGUCCUCAUUUUACUUUGUAGGCAAGAAGCAUGUUUUUCUGUCUAUUUAAACUGAGAAAUACACGAUUACCACUUCGGGCCUCCUUGUGAGCUCAGGGUUUGACACAAUUUGCACUCUAUAAUUUCUGACGUUUUUGUGGCUCACUGUUAGGGCUGACACAAAGCAGAGGGAAUGAGUCUGUAGAGGAAAAGAGAGAGAGAAAACGUGGGUACACCAAUGUGCUGCCAUUACUCAGCGAAGUGCACGAUUCUCGCACUAGUUCAUUUUGUUUGAAACAGGAUUUUACUUUUCAGGAGCCACUUACUCUUAAUUUUUACCCACUCAGUCCUUUUGGUGUUGUCCUUCUGUACUCUGAAGUUGGAAGAUAUCAUGGCCGGUGACUUGCACUCUGGUAAAAUGUUUCCUACGAUGCCUGCUUGCUCUUGUCUUAGAUGAAUUUUGGAGUCUGCUUCUGAUGUUAUUUUAACGUAUAAACUUUUAACGACGUGUGUUCUUUCUUUUAUGUUUCACUUAAGUCAGCACAUGAUUUUGUAAAUGGA